GGGGGUUCUUUGCAAUAGGUGCUGAGGUAUUGGCAGUGAUGGGGGCUCUAAGCUGAAAGAAUGAAAGAACUUUCCCUAGAGGAACAGGUCACCGAAAACUGCUCACAACCUCCACUACCCUCCAGCAAAGCCUUUAGCCACCUAAGUGUGAGAUCUGGAAAUGGGUAUUAGUUCCUCUACAAGGGCCCUGCUCCACCUCCGUGCAGAAACACCAACAGUGUUUACCUUCUGAUAACUGGCCUCGAGAUGGAGGAAAAGGCAGUGUCUUCCUUGGUUCAUUUAUCCGUCCAUUCAAUGACUGUUUACUGAAUACCUACCAGGUACCCAACGCUGUACUAGGUGCUGGGGACAGACACAAAGGCAGCCGAUCUGGGACAGCUGUAUUCAGGACCAGCUUUGCUUGCUGGUAGCAAGUGCCUGUGUCAAACGUGAAAGGACAAUUAGAUACAACAGAGGAGACUAAGAAAAUCCACUGGGUUUCAUCUGGAGUCACCAGCUUGUUUAUGAGGCUGUACUAACAGCUGACAUGUAAGAACAAACCUUCUUGCUUGAACAGUCUCAUACAUGCAGAUUCUUUCUCCAGUGGACAUCUCUGCUCAGAAUUUGUUGUAAUCUCUUGACCUUUUCGAACUGAGGAAUGUAUUUUGUUUUGGUGAA